rnacentral:rRNA from 1 species
CUCGUAGGCGGCUUGUCGCGUCUGCCGUGAAAGGCCAGCGCUUAACGCUGGGAGUGCGGUGGGUACGGGCAGGCUAGAGUUCGGUAGGGGAGACUGGAAUUCCUGGUGUAGCGGUGGAAUGCGCAGAUAUCAGGAGGAACACCGAUGGCGAAGGCAGGUCUCUGGGCCGUUACUGACGCUGAGGAGCGAAAGCAUGGGUAGCGAACA